UACGAAGGGUGCAAGCGUUACUCGGAAUUACUGGGCGUAAAGCGUGCGUAGGUGGUGAGUUAAGUCUGUCGUGAAAGCCCCGGGCUCAACCUGGGAUUGGCGAUGGAUACUGGCUCGCUAGAGUGCGGUAGAGGAGAGUGGAAUUCCCGGUGUAGCAGUGAAAUGCGUAGAGAUCGGGAGGAACAUCAGUUGCGAAGGCGGCUCUCUGGACCAGCACUGACACUGAGGCACGAAAGCGUGGGGAGCAAACAGG
rnacentral:rRNA from 1 species